UGUUUGCUUUGACGAAUCACAAAGACAGUUUCCGAGUAAGGUAGCUCUUGAAAAAGGUCCUCCCUCCUUGAUUACACAUCAAAAACGGAUCAUAUAUUUUGAACAAACA